rnacentral:rRNA from 1 species
CCUACGGGGGGCAGCAGUGGGGAAUAUUGGGCAAUGGAGGAAACUCUGACCCAGCAACGCCGCGUGAAUGAUGAAGGUCUUCGGAUUGUAAAGUUCUUUUCUACGGGAAGAAGAAAGAGACGGUACCUUAGGAAUAAGCCUCGGCUAACUACGUGCCAGCAGCCGCGGUAAUACGUAGGAGGCAAGCGUUAUCCGGCAUGACUGGGCGUAAAGGGUGCGUAGGUGGUUUGACAAGUUGGUAGCGUAACUCCGAGGCUUAACCUCGGCACUACUACCAAAACUGUUGGACUCGAGUGCAGGGGGGGCAAAUGGAAUUCCUAGUGUAGCGGUGGAAUGCGUAGAUAUUAGGAGGAACACCAGUGGCGAAGGCGAUUUGCUGGACUGUAACUGACACUGAGGCACGAAAGCGUGGGGAGCAAACAGGAUUAGAUACCCCUGUAGUC